ensembl:lncRNA
AUAAGUUAAAAGUUAAAGUUAGAACUACUAAGAGAUUGUACACAAAUAAGCAAAAUAAGUGUCUAAAAUAAAGGUUUAUUGUUAGUUAUUCGAAUGUAAAUUUUAAAGUGACCCAUGAUAAAAAAAAAAAAAAUCAUGAAACUUUUUUUUUUUUUUAAAUAAUAGACAGUCUGUGAUCAACAUAUAAUGUAUCAUAUUACAAGACCACUCACAACUAUUAAAAAAAAAAAAAAACAAUAGAACCCUGCCCAAAACACAAUAGAAAAUGUAAUGGAUUUAAUCCCAGCUAACACUUGACGUACCGGUUACGUAAUGGAUUGGUACUUUUUGGUAAUUUCACGAUUUACCGGAUGGCAACGUAGCUACCACGUCCUAGGCACAUAAUGGUAAUACCAAUAAAAUUAUGAUUAAUAUUAAUGGUUUACAUGCCGCUUAAUAUUUAAAUAUGCUUAUUUAAACGUUUUUAGACUGGACAUCUUAAAUAUGUCGAUUAAAUAACCCAAGACAGAAUUAAUACGCUACAUGCAGACAGCUCUGUGCUGUAUGGGAAUAUAACUGCGCGGCUGCGCGCCUCUCGCGCGCUCAAGUUCAGGACAGCGCGUGCACAGCAGAGCUGCGUCUGAGCGAUCGUUCCGCCGAAAAUGUCUUCUGACAGCAGUAACAACGCUUUUUUCAGGGGCUUUUUUUUUCAUCGGACAGGAACUUUCGUUUUAUCAGGUACACAGCACUGGUGGGGGCUGGAGUAACCAUAGCAACCUGGGGACGUAACGGCGCCUGAAGAAGACAGGCCCAACUCCGGCUCUCCAGUGCGAUACUGAGAGUACUGUAACAAUCACAUUAAUAGUGUCUUUAUCGGAAGUGUUUUUAUAAUAUUAAUGCUUCUGUAAUUAUUUAAUAUAUGUCUUGAUUCAUGCGCGAUAUAGUUAUGUUUUAAAUGGAAUGGAGCUUUGUUGUUCAUUUGAAUGUUUCUGUUUGUAUGCCGUUUUGAACGCGGUUUGAUAUGUUGCUGUUAAUAUGUUGCUUUUAUCUAUACAGUAAAUGAAAAGUAUUCCAUUCAUAUGUUAUUAAAAAGUUUCUAAAAUAGUUAUAGUCCAAUAAGGACAAGUUAAAUUGCUGCAUGUACUGCAUGUACAUUUAUUGCAUGUCCGCCCAAGGAAUAUUCAAUAAAAAAAUUAAAAAAAAAUAUUAACUGAUUACC